AUUGAACGCUGGCGGCAUGCUUUACACUUGCAAGUCGAACGGUAACAGGUUAAGCUGACGAGUGGCGAACGGGUGAGUAAUGCAUCGGAACGUGCCCGAUCGUGGGGGAUAACGCAGCGAAAGCUGCGCUAAUACCGCAUACGAUCUGAGGAUGAAAGCGGGGGACCGUAAGGCCUCGCGCGAUCGGAGCGGCCGAUGUCAGAUUAGGUAGUUGGUGGGGUAAAGGCCCACCAAGCCGACGAUCUGUAGCUGGUCUGAGAGGACGACCAGCCACACUGGGACUGAGACACGGCCCAGACUCCUACGGGAGGCAGCAGUGGGGAAUUUUGGACAAUGGGCGAAAGCCUGAUCCAGCAAUGCCGCGUGCAGGAAGAAGGCCUUCGGGUUGUAUAGCACUUUCAGUGGGGAAGAAAAACUUAGGGUUAAUACCCCUAAGCAUUGACGUUACCCACAGAAGAAGCACCGGCUAACUCUGUGCCAGCCGCCGCAGUAA
rnacentral:rRNA from 1 species